AGUGAACGCUGGCGGUAGGCCUAACACAUGCAAGUCGAACGGCAGCACAGUAAGAGCUUGCUCUUACGGGUGGCGAGUGGCGGACGGGUGAGGAAUACAUCGGAAUCUACUUUUUCGUGGGGGAUAACGUAGGGAAACUUACGCUAAUACCGCAUACGACCUACGGGUGAAAGCAGGGGAUCUUCUGACCUUGCGCGAUUGAAUGAGCCGAUGUCGGAUUAGCUAGUUGGCGGGGUAAAGGCCCACCAAGGCGACGAUCCGUAGCUGGUCUGAGAGGAUGGUCAGCCACACUGGAACUGAGACACGUUCCAGACUCCGACGGGAGGCAGCAGUGGGGAAUAUUGGACAAUGGGCGAAAGCCUGAUCCAGCAAUACCGCGUGGGUGAAGAAGGCCUUCGGGUUGUAAAGCGCUUUUGUUGGGAAAGAAAAGCAGCAGGUUAAUACCCCGCUGUUCUGACGGUACCCAAAGAAUAAGCACCGGCUAACUUCGUG
rnacentral:rRNA from 1 species